rnacentral:rRNA from 1 species
GCCCAGAUGGGAUUAGCUUGUUGGUGAGGUAACGGCUCACCAAGGCGACGAUCCCUAGCUGGUCUGAGAGGAUGACCAGCCACACUGGAACUGAGACACGGUCCAGACUCCUACGGGAGGCAGCAGUGGGGAAUAUUGCACAAUGGGCGCAAGCCUGAUGCAGCCAUGCCGCGUGUAUGAAGAAGGCCUUCGGGUUGUAAAGUACUUUCAGCGGGGAGGAAGGUGUUGUGGUUAAUAACCGCAGCAAUUGACGUUACCCGCAGAAGAAGCACCGGCUAACUCCGUGCCAGCAGCCGCGGUAAUACGGAGGGUGCAAGCGUUAAUCGGAAUUACUGGGCGUAAAGCGCACGCAGGCGGUCUGUCAAGUCGGAUGUGAAAUCCCCGGGCUCAACCUGGGAACUGCAUUCGAAACUGGCAGGCUUGAGUCUUGUAGAGGGGGGUAGAAUUCCAGGUGUAGCGGUGAAAUGCGUAGAGAUCUGGAGGAAU